AGACCCGAAACCCGGUGAUCUAGCCAUGGGCAGGUUGAAGGUUGGGUAACACUAACUGGAGGACCGAACCGACUAAUGUUGAAAAAUUAGCGGAUGACCUGUGGCUGGGGGUGAAAGGCCAAUCAAACCGGGAGAUAGCUGGUUCUCCCCGAAAGCUAUUUAGGUAGCGCCUCGUGAAUUCAUCUCCGGGGGUAGAGCACUGUUUCGGCUAGGGGGCCAUCCCGGCUUACCAACCCGAUGCAAACUGCGAAUACCGGAGAAUGUUAUCACGGGAGACACACGGCGGGUGCUAACGUCCGUCGUGAAGAGGGAAACAACCCAGACCGCCAGCUAAGGUCCCAAAGUCAUGGUUAAGUGGGAAACGAUGUGGGAAGGCCCAGACAGCCAGGAUGUUGGCUUAGAAGCAGCCAUCAUUUAAAGAAAGCGUAAUAGCUCACUGGUCGAGUCGGCCUGCGCGGAAGAUGUAACGGGGCUAAACCAUGCACCGAAGCUGCGGCAGCGAACGUAUCACCCAAGACAACUUUACGGAGUUGACGAUUGACGGAGCGAAGCGACGUCAAAGCGUUCAUUAAAGUCGAGUUGGCUUAGGGAUACGUUCGUUGGGUAGGGGAGCGUUCUGUAAGCCUGUGAAGGUGUGUC
rnacentral:rRNA from 2 species